rnacentral:rRNA from 1 species
CACGUAGGCGGUUUUGUAAGUCAGUGGUGAAAUCUGGUCGCUUAACGAUCAAACGGCCAUUGAUACUGCAGGACUUGAAUUACCAGGAAGUAACUAGAAUAUGUAGUGUAGCGGUGAAAUGCUUAGAUAUUACAUGGAAUACCAAUUGCGAAGGCAGGUUACUACUGGUUUAUUGACGCUGAUGGACGAAAGCGUGGGGAGCGAACA